rnacentral:lncRNA from 1 species
UAUCGCAACUACGGGCACCUGGAGUUGAUUCGGCUGCAGCUGGCCGCCCAGUUUGAGAAUUGGUGUAAGACAUCACAAUCCCAUUAUUCAGAGCGCGUAUGGAGUGGAAACGCUUGUAGGGUUUCACCAGUCUUUCCCAGGGAACUCCGAUGAAGUGUUCCAACAAAAUGAGCGAGUGAACCAAGAAGAGGAUGACAUUAGAUCCAGGAGAUACAACAGAGGAGAUAAUCUCCAGGAUGCCUGUGAAGAAAGAUCCCUGGAUCCCAGGAUGAUUAUAGGACAAGUUGUUCAUAAUCCAGCAGGCCAGAAGACUUCCAGGGAAACUCAUUUCAAGAUGAAAAUGGACCAGCCGCAGUGGCUCACGCCUGUAAUACCAGCACUUUGGGAGGCUGAGGCAGGCGGAUCACUUGAGGUCAGGAGUUUGAAACUAGCCUGGCCAACGUGGCAAAACUCCAUCUCUAUUAAAAAUACAAAAAUUAGCCAGGCAUAGUGGUGCAUGCCUGUAGUCCCAGCUACUUGGGAUGCUGAGGCAGGAAGAAUUGCUUGAACCUGGGAGGCAGAGUCUGCAGUGAGCCGAGAUCAUGCCACUGCACUCCAGCCUGGGUGACAGAGCCAGACUCCGUCUCAAAAAAAAAAGAAAAAGAAAAAAAAAAUGAUGACUCUUUCAAGAAAUGAAAAUGAUGAGAUAUCUGGUAGGUCUGAAUGACUUAAGAGGAGAUUUAAACAUUUGGGAUAAGUUGAAGAUGAGCUGGUGUUCGUCUUCAUUUAUUUCAUUUAAAUAAAUAAAAUUAUUAAUACAUGAAUUUUAUCUCAAGAAACAAAAAUAAGCAAUGUACAUAAAAAUUAAGCAGAUGGCUGGCCGGGCGCGGUGGCUCACGCCUGUAAUCAGAGCAC